rnacentral:lncRNA from 1 species
ACACCAAAAUCUCAUAAUCCAAUGAGCAUAUCAUCAAAUCCUUAAGCAAAUGGAUAAAUUAUUUUUGUAUAUGACCAUUUAUAUUACAUGCCAAAAGAAUCAUACUCUUUUCAAGCAUAUACACCUAUAAUGCAUUCUUUUGAAAUUAGUGUUUCACAUAAAUAUUUUUUGUUCAAAUAUUUUGUCAUCAUCAAAAAGGGGGA